AGUAUCGCGUGGGUAAUCUACCUUGAGGUGGGGGAUAGCCUCGGGAAACCGAGGGUAAUACCGCAUGAGUCCUCAAUGACAUAAGUCGAUGAGGGGAAAGGCGGGGCUCCUUCGGGACCUGUCGCCUCUAGAUGAGCCCGCGUCCGAUUAGCUAGUUGGUGGGGUAAUGGCCUACCAAGGCAACGAUCGGUAGCCGGCCUGAGAGGGUGAACGGCCACAUUGGGACUGAGACACGGCCCAG
rnacentral:rRNA from 1 species